rnacentral:lncRNA from 1 species
UCCAAUUACUAUAAUCCAUAUAUUCUUAUCCAAUAUCAAUCAACUCACGACACUAUGUCAUCCAAAUCUUUUAUCACACGUGUAUACUAUCAUGAAUAAACAUGUAUAUCACGUAAUCAUCAAUUAAUAGCAAUCAAAUAACAUAUAAUCACAUUGUGCACAUUUAACAACAAUUAUUCACAUUCUCGACUCCAUCAUAUUAUUAUGUCAUAUCAAACUAGACUUUAUAAGCUUUCAUCUCUCUUUCGUUUUACUUGAUUCCGACUUACGGAUCAAAAGAUAUGAUCAAAAUUGUUUCCUACUUCCUCUAUCAACACAUAACACAUCACUCUAAUAACACACAUCACAUAACACAUAAGAUUUCCCAUCCCGACUAAUGUCAAAUCGAGUCUCGGGUUUAAAAUAAUUUUUCGGAAUUUUCUGGAAAUUUU